rnacentral:rRNA from 1 species
CAGCCGCCACGGUAAAACGUAGGGUGCAAGCGUUAAUCGGAAUUACUGGGCGUAAAGCGUGCGCAGGCGGUUCGCUAAGACAGAUGUGAAAUCCCCGGGCUUAACCUGGGAACUGCAUUUGUGACUGGCGGGCUAGAGUAUGGCAGAGGGGGGUAGAAUUCCACGUGUAGCAGUGAAAUGCGUAGAGAUGUGGAGGAAUACCGAUGGCGAAGGCAGCCCCCUGGGCCAAUACUGACGCUCAUGCACGAAAGCGUGGGGAGCAAACAGGAUUAGAUACCCGCGUAGUCCCUGUCUCUUAUAC